UACGAAGGAUCCAAGCGUUAUCCGGAUUCAUUGGGUUUAAAGGGUGCGUAGGCGGUUUUGUAAGUCAGUGGUGAAAUCUCUCAGCUUAACUGAGAAACUGCCAUUGAUACUGCAGAACUAGAGUACAGAUGACGUUGGCGGAAUGUGUCAUGUAGCGGUGAAAUGCAUAGAUAUGACACAGAACACCGAUUGCGAAGGCAGCUGACGAAACUGCAACUGACGCUGAUGCACGAAAGUGCGGGGAUCAAACAGG
rnacentral:rRNA from 2 species